rnacentral:rRNA from 1 species
AGGACAAACGCUGGCGGCGUGCCUAAGACAUGCAAGUCGAACGGUGGGGCUUGCCCCACAGUGGCGGACGGGUGAGGAACGCGUGGGCAACCUGCCCCGGGGUGGGGGAUAACACUCAGAAAUGGGUGCUAAGACCGCAUACGAGUGGGGGACGGAAGGUUCCUUAGGGAAAAGCCUUCGGGCUGCCCUGGGAGGGGCCCGCGUCGGAUUAGCUAGUUGGUGUGGUAACGGCGCACCAAGGCUGCGAUCCGUAGCUGGUCUGAGAGGACGACCAGCCACACUGGGACUGAGACACGGCCCAGACUCCUACCGGGAGGCAGCGAGUUAGGGAAUUUUCACAAUGGGUCGCAAGCCUGAUGGAGUGACGCCGCGUGCAGGACGACGCCUUUCGGGGUGUAAACUGCUUUUCUUCGGGACGAGAACGGACGGUACCGGAGGAAGAAGCCUCGGCUAACUACGUGCCAGCAGCCGC